rnacentral:rRNA from 1 species
AUGGCUCAGGAUAACGCUGGCGGCAUGCCUAAUACAUGCAAGUCGAAUGAGAAGCUUGCUUCUCAUGGCGAACGGGUGAGUAACACGUAGGUAACCUGCCUUACACUCGAGGAUAACCGUUGGAAACGACGGAUAAUACUGGAUAGGACAAAGAUUCGCAUGAAUCGUUGUUUAAAAGCAAUGGUGUAUGAGGGGCCUGCGGUGCAUUAGCUAGUUGGUGAGGUAACGGCUCACCAAGGCGAUGAUGCAUAGCUGGACUGAGAGGUUGAACAGCCACAAUGGGACUGAGAACGGCCCAUACUCCUACGGGAGGCAGCAGUAGGGAAUUUUCGGCAAUGGGGGAAACCCUGACCGAGCAAUGCCGCGUGAACGAUGAAGUAUUUCGGUAUGUAAAGUUCUUUUAUUAGGAAAGAUAGUGACGGUACCUAAUGAAUAAGCUCCGGCUAACUACGUGCCAGCCGCUGC